UACACUAAGCAUAAAACACCGCCAUUGACAACCUAUAUAAGAAUGCGAAACUCUCUUCUCGACACUUCCUACCCAGGUUGUGAUUUCUCAGUAAGCGGUUCUUGUUCCUCUUAAAUUUGGUAUUUUCCAUUCUUCUUUCUCCAUUGUUGGGUUCUUUCUUUCUCUGCUAUUACUUUGAAUAAUGGGAUCAACGCUCUACUGUGGGUGAAUUCGGAGGCUCGGUUCAACAAAAUUUCAACGGUGAAUACGAAGGAAAACUGGAAACCCAUUUUUCUUGUGUAUGUAGGGAAUGAAAGAGCAAGGAAAAGCUCUAGAGCUUAAGAAGAACGUGUUCAAGUAUUGAUCUUCAGAUUGCCAGUGACUUGUGUUGUUUUUGAAGGCAAGAGAAAGUGUAUUUAUAAGAGAAAUAAUUGUUGAAGGGGGUUAAAGGAUGGGGUCGUGCUAAGUGCGUCCCCCACCUUUUCAAACAGUGGCGGCCAAUAAUAGAUCAUAGUCUCCUACAUUUCAGUUCAUGCAACUCAAUAGCAAGGUGAAACAGCCAACUAGCAUGAUAAAUUAUUAUUAAGUUGAAAGCUAUAGAUAAUGGAUUUAGGAGGCAUGCAACAAGAGCAUGCCCUCAGAUUGCUCUGGUUGAAAUAACACAUACACAUCUAUGCAAACCUUUGAAUGCCCUGAGAAAACUAAUGCAAAGAAAGAAAUAGAAGAUAAAAGAGAAAGAGCAAAUGGUCUCAUUAUUAGGAAUGGAAAGAUUCUUCUUCUGUCUCCUAAUUAUUUCAAAGAAUUUCAUGAUACAAAUGUGGGUGAACAUUUUGGAUACUUUCGGACCUACAAGAGAAUUUCUGCAGUGAUGUAUUGGGAAGGGAUGAAAAGACAAAUUCUGCAAUACAUCAAAGAAUGUGAGGUCUGCUAAAGGAAUAAGCACCAGACAUUGCUACUUGCUAGCCUGUUAUAACCAUUACCAAUUCCCAUAAAUGUUUGGUCUGAUGUGUAUCUAUGGACUACAUUGGGGGAUUGCCCAAGGCUUUGGAAAUAGACACUAUUUUGGUGGUUGUGGAUAGGAUGACUAAAUAUGCUCAUUUUUUUAGUCUAGCAUACCUUUACAUAGCCAAGGAAGUAGUUGAUUUGUUUGCCAAAGAAGUGGUGCAACUUCAUAGUUUUCUAAAUUCAAUUGUUCGAGAUAAAUCAUUCAAGAGAAAUUUUUGGGGUGAGUUCAAGGAAGCUGGGACCACCCUCAAGAUAUAUAAUAAAUUUCCCUUUGGAA